rnacentral:rRNA from 1 species
AUGGAGCCACGGCGCCUGAGCCUGGCAGAGGCAGAAGAUGGAGCCGCGGCGCCUGAUCCUGGCAGCGGCGGAGACGGAGCUCGAUGUGCUGGAGUCACCGGCGCUAUCUUGCUGCCGGAGACGGAGCUCGAGGUACUCGGAGGUGGGGAGCUCGAGGUGCUGGGUGCGGGAGCUCGAGGAGCUGACGCCGGCGACGGGGUCCUAGUGCUAGGGAUGGAGCUCGAGGUUCUGGCCGGCGGACGGAGGUUCCGCGCGGUGGAUCGCGACGAGCGGACGGAGAACUGGGUACUGGAUUGUAAUGAUUUCAAAUUUCGGAAGGGCCUUAUUGUAAAAUUGAUUUGUUCACGAUUCCGCCUCCCCUGGAGUCAUCUAUUACCGAACGGAGGGAGUAUUUGGUAA